CCCUGGCCUGCUAAAUAGUAUCAAUCAUUUCAAUGAUCAUAUACUUCUUAGAGGGACUGUUUGUGACUAACAAAAGGAAGUCAGGGCAAUAACAGGUCUGUGAUGCCCCUAGAUGUUCUGGGCCGCACGCGCGCUACACUGAUAGAGUCAACAAGUAUACCUAGACUGUAAAGUCUUGGAAAUCUACAAUCUCUAUCGUGCUGGGGAUUGAGCAUUGCAAUUAUUGCUCAUGAACGAGGAAUUCCUAGUAAGCACAAAUCAUCAAUUUGUGCUGAUUACGUCCCUACCGUUUGUACACACCGCCCGUCGAUACUACCGAUUGAACGGUUUAGUGAGGCCUCGGAAGAAGAGAAGAUUAUUCUAUUUCUUCAAACCUGUCCAAACUGAACCGUUUAGAGGAAGUAAAAGUCG
rnacentral:rRNA from 1 species